rnacentral:rRNA from 1 species
GACGUAGGGUGCAAGCGUUGUCCGGAUUUAUUGGGCGUAAAGAGCUCGUAGGCGGCUUGUUGCGUCGACUGUGAAAACCCGCGGCUUAACUGCGGGCUUGCAGUCGAUACGGGCAGGCUAGAGUUCGGUAGGGGAGACUGGAAUUCCUGGUGUAGCGGUGAAAUGCGCAGAUAUCGGGAGGAACACCAAUGGCGAAGGCAGCUCGCUGGGACGUUACUGACGCUGAGACGCGAAAGCGUGGGGAGCAAACAGG